rnacentral:rRNA from 1 species
UACGGGGGGAGCAAGCGUUGUUCGGAUUCACUGGGUUUAAAGGGUGCGUAGGCGGGUUGGUAAGUCCGUGGUGAAAUCCCCAAGCUUAACUUGGGAACUGCCGUGGAUACUAUCAAUCUUGAAUAUCGUGGAGGUAAGCGGAAUAUGUCAUGUAGCGGUGAAAUGCUUAGAUAUGACAUAGAACACCAAUUGCGUAGGCAGCUUACUACACGAUCAUUGACGCUGAGGCACGAAAGCGUGGGGAGCAAACAGG